rnacentral:rRNA from 1 species
UUGAAGAAGCUUGCUUCUGAUUGAUAACAUUUGAGUGAGUGGCGGACGGGUGAGUAACACGUGGGUAACCUGCCCUAAAGUGGGGGAUAACAUUUGGAAACAGAUGCUAAUACCGCAUAAAACCUAGCACCGCAUGGUGCAAGGUUGAAAGAUGGUUUCGGCUAUCACUUUAGGAUGGACCCGCGGUGCAUUAGUUAGUUGGUGAGGUAAAGGCUCACCAAGACCGUGAUGCAUAGCCGACCUGAGAGGGUAAUCGGCCACACUGGGACUGAGACACGGCCCAGACUCCUACGGGAGGCAGCAGUAGGGAAUCUUCCACAAUGGACGAAAGUCUGAUGGAGCAACGCCGCGUGAGUGAAGAAGGUUUUCGGAUCGUAAAACUCUGUUGUUGGAGAAGAACGUAUUUGAUAGUAACUGAUCAGGUAGUGACGGUAUCCAACCAGAAAGCCACGGCUAACUACGUGCCAGCAGCCGCGGUAAUACGUAGGUGGCAAGCGUUGUCCGGAUUUAUUGGGCGUAAAGCGAGCGCAGGCGGUUUCUUAAGUCUGAUGUGAAAGCCUUCGGCUCAACCGAAGAAGUGCAUCGGAAACUGGGAAACUUGAGUGCAGAAGAGGACAGUGGAACUCCAUUGUUAGC